rnacentral:rRNA from 1 species
UACGUAGGGUGCGAGCGUUAAUCGGAAUUACUGGGCGUAAAGCGUGCGCAGGCGGUUCGCCAAGUCAGGUGUGAAAUCCCCGGGCUUAACCCGGAAAGGUCAGCCGAUACUGCGGGGCUAGAGUGCAGAAGGGGCAACUGGAAUUCUCGGUGUAGCGGUGAAAUGCGUAGAGAUGCGGAGGAACACCGAUGGCGAAGGCAGCCCCCUGGGCCAAUACUGACGCUCAGGCACGAAAGCGUGGGGAGCAAACAGG